GGGUCAGGCAAUCGCACGUCUAGCGUGAGGAAAGUCCGGGCUCCCAUGUAACAGGAUGCCGGUUAAUGGCCGGCGAGGGCGACCUCAGGGAAAGUGCCACAGAGAGAAGACUACCAUCCUCCGGGAUGGAAAAGCUGAAAGGGUGCGGUAAGAGCGCACCGCGGGUCUGGUAACAGUCCCGGCAAGGUAAACCCCAUCCGGAGCAAGACCAAAUAGGGACGGAACACCCCGUUACAUGGGCCGUCCGGGUUGGUUGCAAGAGGCGUUCGGUAACGACCGCCCCAGAUGAAUGAUUGCCCAUCGCGCAAGCGAGGACAAAACCCGGCUUACAGACCCUCUG
rnacentral:RNase_P_RNA from 1 species